rnacentral:lncRNA from 1 species
CUCUUGCUUCUCGCUCUCUCUUGCUUCUUGCUCUCUUGCUUCUUACACGCUUGCUCCUGAAGAUGUAAGAAAUAAAGCUUUGCCGCAGAAGAUUCUGGUCUGUGGUGUUCUUCCUGGCCGGUCGUGAGAACGCGUCUAAUAACAAUUGGUGCCGAAUUCCGGGACGAGAAAAAAAACUCGGGACUGGCGCAAGGAAGAUCCCUCAUUCCGGAACCAGAACUGCGCGGUGAUAAAGGUUCCCGUAAAGCAGACUGUUAAGAAGGAUUCAACUGUAUGAAUUCAGAACUUUUCAGCUGGGGAACGAGGUAAGUCUGAUCUUGAACUUUCUAAGGAAAUUCAAGACAGUCUAUCAGAAGUAAAGUGGAAAAUGGCUUUACAAGUUAUGUUUGGCCUUGAAUUUUUUCUAGUGUUAGAAGCCCUUUUGUUCCUUUUCACAUGUUAUAUAGUGGUUAAGAUAGGGCUGAAAAUUCUAGAGGAAAUUCAGGACAAGCUAUCAGAAGUAAAGCGGGGAGAGAGAGUAGGAGCAAGGAGAAACGGUAAGUAUACAGGCCUUUCCAAGGGUCUUGAACCCGAGGAAAAGUUAAGGUUAGGUAGGAAUACCUGGAGAGAGAUUAGAAGAAAAAGAGGAAAAAGGGAAAAGAAGAAAGAUCAAUUAGCGGAGGUCUCUAGGAAAAGGAGCCUGUGCUCAUCGCUGGAUGGGCUCGGGGAGCCAGCUCUUAGUAGCUCUGAAGCAGGUGAAGAAUUCUCCUCUGAGGAAACAGACUGGGAGGAAGAAGCAGCCCAUUACCAGCCAGCUAAUUGGUCAAGAAAAAAGCCAAAAGCGGCUGGCGAAGGCCAGUUUGCUGAUUGGCCUCAGGGCAGUCGGCUCCGCCCUAUGCGGAGUCCCCGCCCUGCGUAGUGCGUCAGCAAUGCGCAGAGAGGCAGUGCGCAGAGAGGCAGUGCGCAGACUCAUUCAUUCCCAGAGAGGAACAAAGGAAAAUACAACAGGCAUUUCCGGUCUUUGAAGGAGCCGAGGGUGGGCGUGUCCACGCUCCGGUAGAAUACUUACAAAUUAAAGAAAUUGCUGAGUCGGUCCGUAAAUACGGAACCAAUGCUAAUUUUACCUUGGUGCAGUUAGACAGGCUCGCUGGCAUGGCACUAACUCCUGCUGACUGGCAAAUGAUUGCAAAAGCCGCUCUCCCUAGUAUGGGCAAAUAUGUGAAAUGGAGAGCUUGCUCUGAAUCUCCAAAAAUACGCUCUGCUGCCUCUGUCAUUCUGGCCACAAAAUCUGAGAAGGACUCCUGAGGUCCCUGGACAACUUUUGUUAAUUGACCAGUGGUUUCACCUGCUCGGGAGAGCGCCUUCCAGGCCCUAAUAGCCGUGGAGGAAAUCUGGCUCUCCCUAAUAUGGGCAAAUAUUUGGAAUGGAGAUCUCUGUGGCGAGAGGCUGCACAGGCGCAGGACCGAGCAAACGCUGCUGCUUUAACUCCAGAGCAGAGAGAUUGGACUUUUGACUUGUUAACGGGUCAGAGAGCUUAUUCUGCUAAACCUGAUAAGAGGUAUCAAUGGAAGGUCUUACCACAGGGAAUGUCCAAUAGUCCUACUAUGUGUCAACUUUAUGUGCAAGAAGCUCUUUUGCCAGUGAGGGAACAAUUCCCCUCUUUAAUUUUGCUCCUUUACAUGGAUGACAUCCUCCUGUGCCAUAAAGACCUUACCAUGCUACAAAAGGCAUAUCCUUUUCUACUUAAAACUUUAAGUCAGUGGGGUUUACAGAUAGCCACAGAAAAGGUCCAAAUUUCUGAUACAGGACAAUUCUUGGGCUCUGUGGUGUCCCCAGAUAAGAUUGUGCCCCAAAAGGUAGAGAUAAGAAGAGAUCACCUCCAUACCUUAAAUGAUUUUCAAAAGCUGUUGGGAGAUAUUAAUUGGCUCAGACCUUUUUUAAAGAUUCCUUCCGCUGAGUUAAGGCCUUUGUUUAGUAUUUUAGAAGGAGAUCCUCAUAUCUCCUCCCCUAGGACUCUUACUCUAGCUGCUAACCAGGCCUUACAAAAGGUGGAAAAAGCCUUACAGAAUGCACAAUUACAACGUAUUGAGGAUUCGCAGCCUUUCAGUUUGUGUGUCUUUAAGACAGCACAAUUGCCAACUGCAGUUUUGUGGCAGAAUGGGCCAUUGUUGUGGAUCCAUCCAAACGUAUCCCCAGCUAAAAUAAUAGAUUGGUAUCCUGAUGCAAUUGCACAGCUUGCCCUUAAAGGUCUAAAAGCAGCAAUCACCCACUUUGGGCAAAGUCCAUAUCUUUUAAUUGUACCUUAUACCGCUGCACAGGUUCAAACCUUGGCAGCCGCAUCUAAUGAUUGGGCAGUUUUAGUUACCUCCUUUUCAGGAAAAAUAGAUAACCAUUAUCCAAAACAUCCAAUCUUACAGUUUGCCCAAAAUCAAUCUGUUGUGUUUCCACAAAUAACAGUAAGAAACCCACUUAAAAAUGGGAUUGUGGUAUAUACUGAUGGAUCAAAAACUGGCAUAGGUGCCUAUGUGGCUAAUGGUAAAGUGGUAUCCAAACAACAUGUUCUGGCAUCAUGUUUGCUUCUCCGUUAACCGGAGAAAAAGCCUCACAUGUGAUUCAACAUUGUCUUGAGGCAUGGAGUGCUUGGGGGAAACCCAGACUCCUUAAGACUGAUAAUGGACCAGCUUAUACGUCUCAAAAAUUCCAACAGUUCUGCCGUCAGAUGGACGUGACCCACCUGACUGGACUUCCAUACAACCCUCAAGGACAGGGUAUUGUUGAGCGUGCGCAUCGCACCCUCAAAGCCUAUCUUAUAAAACAGAAGAGGGGAACUUUUGAGGAGACUGUACCCCGAGCACCAAGAGUGUCGGUGUCUUUGGCACUCUUUACACUCAAUUUUUUAAAUAUUGAUGUUCAUGGCCAUACUGCGGCUGAACGUCAUUGUUCAGAGCCAGAUAGGCCCAAUGAGAUGGUUAAAUGGAAAAAUGUCCUUGAUAAUAAAUGGUAUGGCCCGGAUCCUAUUUUGAUAAGAUCCAGGGGAGCUAUCUGUGUUUUCCCACAGAAUGAAGACAACCCAUUUUGGGUACCAGAAAGACUCACCCGAAAAAUCCAGACUGACCAAGGGAAUACUAAUGUCCCUCGUCUUGGUGAUGUCCAGGGCGUCAAUAAUAAAGAGAGAGCAGCGUUGGGGGAUAAUGUCGACAUUUCCACUCCCAAUGACGGUGAUGUAUAAUGCUCAAGUAUUCUCCUGCUUUUUUACCACUAACUAGGAACUGGGUUUGGCCUUAAUUCAGACAGCCUUGGCUCUGUCUGGACAGGUCCAGACGACUGACACCAUUAACACUUUGUCAGCCUCAGUGACUACAGUCAUAGAUGAACAGGCCUCAGCUAAUGUCAAGAUACAGAGAGGUCUCAUGCUGGUUAAUCAACUCAUAGAUCUUGUCCAGAUACAACUAGAUGUAUUAUGACAAAUAACUCAGCAGGGAUGUGAACAAAAGUUUCCGGGAUUGUGUGUUAUUUCCAUUCAGUAUGUUAAAUUUACUAGGACAGCUAAUUUGUCAAAAAGUCUUUUUCAGUAUAUGUUACAGAAUUGGAUGGCUGAAUUUGAACAGAUCCUUCGGGAAUUGAGACUUCAGGUCAACUCCACGCGCUUGGACCUGUCGCUGACCAAAGGAUUACCCAAUUGGAUCUCCUCAGCAUUUUCUUUCUUUAAAAAAUGGGUGGGAUUAAUAUUAUUUGGAGAUACACUUUGCUGUGGAUUAGUGUUGCUUCUUUGAUUGGUCUGUAAGCUUAAGGCCUAAACUAGGAGAGACAAGGUGGUUAUUGCCCAGGCGCUUGCAGGACUAGAACAUGGAGCUCCCCCUGAUAUAUGGUUAUCUAUGCUUAGGCAAUAGGUCGCUGGCCACUCAGCUCUUAUAUCCCACGAGGCUAGACUCAUUGCACGGGAUAGAGUGAGUGUGCUUCAGCAGCCCGAGAGAGUUGCAAGGCUAAGCACUGCAAUGGAAAGGCUCUGCGGCAUAUAUGAGCCUAUUCUAGGGAGACAUGUCAUCUUUCAUGAAGGUUCAGUGUCCUAGUUCCCUUCCCCCAGGCAAAACGACACGGGAGCAGGUCAGGGUCGCUCUGGGUAAAAGCCUGUAAGCCUAAGAGCUAAUCCUGUACAUGGCUCCUUUACCUACACACUGGGGAUUUGACCUCUAUCUCCACUCUCAUUAAUAUGGGUGGCCUAUUUGCUCUUAUUAAAAGGAUAGGGGGAGAUGUUGGGAGCCGCGCCCACAUUCGCCGUUACAAGAUAGCGCUGACAGCUGUGUUCUAAGUGGUAAACAAAUAAUCUGCGCAUGUGCCAAGGGUAUCUUAUGACUACUUGUGCUCUGCCUUCCCCGUGACGUCAACUCGGCCGAUGGGCUGCAGCCAAUCAGGGAGUGACACGUCCGAGGCGAAAGGGACGGGGUUUCGUUCUCUCUCUCUCUUGCUUUUUCGCUCUCUUGCUUCUUGCUCUCUUGCUUCUUGCACUCUGCUCCUGAAGAUGUAAGAAUAAAGCUUUGCCGC